UACGAAGGGGGCUAGCGUUGUUCGGAAUUACUGGGCGUAAAGCGCACGUAGGCGGAUCGAUCAGUCAGGGGUGAAAUCCCAGAGCUCAACUCUGGAACUGCCUUUGAUACUGUCGAUCUGGAGUAUGGAAGAGGUGAGUGGAAUUCCGAGUGUAGAGGUGAAAUUCGUAGAUAUCGGAGGAACACCAGUGGCGAAGGCGGCUCACUGGUCCAUUACUGACGCUGAGGUGCGAAAGCGUGGGGAGCAAACAGG
rnacentral:rRNA from 1 species